CCUACGGGAGGCUGCAGUGGGGAAUCUUGCGCAAUGGGCGAAAGCCUGACGCAGCGACGCCGCGUGGGGGAGGAAGCUCUUCGGGGUGUAAACCUCUGUCGGGAGGGAAGAACGGCCAUCUGAGGAAAUGCAGGUGGUUUGACGGUACCUCCAAAGGAAGCACCGGCUAACUCUGUGCCAGCAGCCGCGGUAAUACAGAGGGUGCGAGCGUUGUUCGGAAUUACUGGGCGUAAAGCGCGCGCAGGCGGCCCUUUAAGUCCGCUGGUCAAAGACCG
rnacentral:rRNA from 1 species